rnacentral:lncRNA from 1 species
CUUCCUUUAUUUAUACCACGUAUGAGUUCACAAGUCCAUUACAUCAUGAGCAAAAAGACAGAAAUCUAGGUAGGGGUAAAGAGCCAUAUCUGCAUACUAUAGUAUACUUUGAAAAGUUUGUUUAUACAAACAACCAGACUGAAGUCACGGGUUGAUAACUUCUCCUUCUGCUGCGUCUCUGUCAUUCAAAUCGAAGCCACUCAACUCACUAUCAAGGCUGCAGUACCAAGCAACCAACCAAAAAGGAACCCACUCAGCGAAACCUCAUUUAUCAACCCAUAUCAUACUACAUUUGGUAUAUAUAAUUCCAAACUCCGGUUCAAGCACACUUUCAUUUAUUAAAAAAAAAACCUUCAUUACAUGGUGAUUCCAUAAUGCAA